AUUUCUCUAGUAUAAAUAGUACAUUUAACUUCCAAUUAAAAAGCUUGAUAUAAUCAAGAGAAAUA
rnacentral:tRNA from 2 species